AUGCUGGGGAACCUGCUGGCAGAGUCCCCAGACACAGACAGGCUCCACUUCAUCUUGGAGCAUGUCAACUUGUGGGUCGUGUCCAGGGUGUCGCAGGAGCGAGCCAGGGCUAUCAGGAGCAGCACAGCCCUGCUGAGAUACACAGUCACCCUCCCUGAGUUUGACAUCUCAGCCGAGUUCCCUAGGAUCGGUCACCAUGUGGCCCAGCUGGCUCUGUUUGUCAGCGAGCCAGACAAGGACAUCAGCCGGCAGGCCAGGGAGGGGACUUACCGGCUCUACCAACUGCUGCUCCAACAGAGGGGCCUGACCAUACAUGACGCGGAAGAUCUCUGGUGCUAUGACUGGCACCAGGACAGAAGGCUCUUGGGUUACAAGAAUACAGCCAGAGUGGGGGAGGU